CAAACGACUCUCGGCAACGGAUAUCUCGGCUCACGCAUCGAUGAAGAACGUAGCAAAAUGCGAUACUUGGUGUGAAUUGCAGAAUCCCGUGAACCAUCGAGUUUUUGAACGCAAGUUGCGCCCGAAGCCAUUUGGCUGAGGACACGUCUGCCUGGGCGUCACAC
rnacentral:rRNA from 1 species